rnacentral:lncRNA from 1 species
CAUCUUCUGGCCUGCGCACUCCUACACACAUGUGACGUGCCCUGCCACACACACAAAAGAGCAGGAUGGAGCAACAGAUUUCUCUUCUUUGUCUCUUGUAUAAUAUUUAUUUGAAGUGCUGUGGAUUGAAACCAGGACCUAGGGCAUUUUGGGUAAACACUGAAACACUAAACUAAAUACCUCACCCCAAUAUCUUUAUUUUUUUUAAUUUAUCCUUUGUUAAUGUUUGAAUAUGGUUAAACAUUUCAUUUAACCUAAGAGAUAGCUAGAUAUUAUAAAUAUGAGGAAAAAAGUAUACUUCACAAAACUUAAAUGAUUAAAAGUAAAUAUUGUUGGCUACUAUUUUUCUAAGCUUUUGUAUAUGUGCAUGUGUGUGUAUGUAUGAGAGACAGAGAGAGAAAGAGACAGACAGACAGAUGGACAGACAGACAGACAGAGCACAAAAAAACUUUACUUAACAUUUUUUUUCUAGCAAACACACUGAGAUCCCUAAUUCAGCUGUAGUUUGGGCCCAAAUCAAAAAAGCAGAGAGGAAGGUGGUGGGCGGCGGAUAGGAACAUCAAAGGCUGUGAAGGUGACUGUGGGUAAAGUGUUCGCCAUUCCAGUGUAGGACUGAAAUCUGGAACCUAUGUAAUAGCCAGGCAGAAACAGCAGCUGCCUACAAUGCCCAAGACAGGGUAAAAAGACAGGACCCCUGGGGCAAACUGGCUGGGUAGACUACCUGCGACUGGUGAGCUCCUAGUGAAGAAACUCUGUCUCAAUAAAUAAAGCAGGGGAGCAAUCAAGGUGGACACUGACAUCAACCUAGGACCCUCACAUGCACACACACGUACACACACCAUGCACACGCGCACACGAAAUCCAAUAAAAACUUUAAGAGUAAAGAUGUAGGGACUCUAUAGAGAUGCUGAUUCUCUGGUAUUUGUGUGUUCUGCCACUAUGUGUUUUGUUCAUAUCACACAUGAGUUUGUCUUCUUUUAUUAAACCAUUUCCUAACAUUAAGAUGCUGUCUUAGAUGUAGAGGAUACAAAUCCCUCUUGGAUUAGAACCUGCUUCCCCAUUUCUGACAGUCAGAUGUAUUGUUCAUCAUUCAUAUUCAUCCAUCUGCUGUAAGAAACUGUAACACAGGCACAAAGACAAGCAUCAGCAGGCCACCAGCCACAGGACUGUCAGUGAAGGUCAGCAGGCCACCAGCCACAGGACUGUCAGUGAAGGUCAGCAGGCCACCAGCCACAGGACUGUCAGUGAAGGUCAGCAGGCCGCCAGCCACAGGACUGCCAGUGAAGGUCAGCAGGCCACCAGCCACAGGACUGUCAGUGAAGGUCAGCAGGCCACCAGCCACAGGACUGUCAGUGAAGAAGGAGCACAGGCCACCAGCCACAGGACUGUCAGUGAAGGUCAGCAGGCCACAACGCCCUGCAGAGCUCUGCCCUAUCUCCAGGAAGCACCUGGACUCAAAGGGCUGGCUUCCAUACUGAGUGCAGGAAGCCAGAAACCAGCCUAGUGCUGCCCAGUGUUUCACAGUUUUUAAAUAUUCAUCAAAGAUUGAAUUUCAUUAUAUUGUUUAUCUAUUAUAAUUUUAGCGGCAGUUUCAAGUAGCCCAGGCGGGCUUCCCACCUCUCUGAGGCCAAGGGUGAUCCUGUGUUCCAAUCCUGCUGCUUCCCUUUCCCCAGUGCUCGAGUCACAGGCAUGGACCACCUGCCCAGUUUUAUGAGGUGUUAGGGGUUGGACCUAGGACUUCAUGCAUGCUCUAGACAGGCAUCCUACCAGGCAACUACAUCAGCAUUUUUAUGAGAAUCCUAACAUACCAAUCUUUUAUUUGAAAUGCAUUUUUCAAUGACAACUAAUUCAAAAACUUGUUGGGAACCCAACAUGCGUCUUCCCGAUGGAGAACAAUCCACUCGGGACCAGUUUUAGCUUGGGGACGGCUCGUGUGAGAGUCUGGGACGAGCUGUCUCUAAGGUCUCUUUCUACUUAAACAGUUUUAUGAUUUUCAUUAAGCCAUGCUGAAGUUUAAAUCACAGCGGCACAAAUCCAAUUAAAAUCACAGCUGCAAAUGCCAGAACAAAGUCUCCAAGUCACAUGUACCUCGACAAAAACAGGUCCUCAGUGAAGCCAUUCAUCGUGUUCAAUAAAGUAGCUGGUAGCACAAGCUAGGAAGAUCGUUAAAUCUAAAUCAGGAAAUGGAUACAUUUAGUCCUGGGUAUAACUCUCUUGAGACUGGGGGAAAACAGGCGUGUGAUGUCGGUUCUGCCAUUAUCGACUGGGAGUUGCUUUCUUUUUCUGAAAUGGAAAGAUCAUGUGGGUGCUGGUGACACAUAAUCUCACAUCCCAGAGAGGAAAGUGCAAGCCCUUCCAGGACUUCACUGAGUCCUGUCAGAUCACAGUCCUAUGGCUUCCGCUGUGAUACCAUGCACAACUCUAACUGUGCUGUCUUCAGGUAUCUCAAAGCAUUCCCUGGGACCUAGCAAGAAAGUUCCAGAAAACAUG